rnacentral:rRNA from 1 species
GACGAAGGAUGCAAGCGUUAUCCGGAUUCAUUGGGUUUAAAGGGUGCGUAGGCGGACUUGCAAGUCAGUGGUGAAAUCUCCGGGCUUAACUCGGAAACUGCCAUUGAUACUGCAGAUCUUGAGUACAGAUGAUGUUGGCGGAAUAUGACAUGUAGCGGUGAAAUGCAUAGAUAUGUCAUAGAACACCGAUUGCGAAGGCAGCUGACAAAACUGUAACUGACGCUGAGGCACGAAAGUGUGGGGAUCAAACAGG